rnacentral:rRNA from 1 species
AUUGAACGCUGGCGGCAUGCCUUACACAUGCAAGUCGAACGGCAGCACGGGAGCUUGCUCCUGGUGGCGAGUGGCGAACGGGUGAGUAAUACAUCGGAACGUACCCUGAAGUGGGGGAUAACGUAGCGAAAGUUACGCUAAUACCGCAUAUUCUGUGAGCAGGAAAGAGGGGGAUCGCAAGACCUCUUGCUUUAGGAGCGGCCGAUGUCGGAUUAGCUAGUUGGUGAGGUAAAGGCUCACCAAGGCGACGAUCCGUAGCGGGUCUGAGAGGAUGAUCCGCCACACUGGGACUGAGACACGGCCCAGACUCCUACGGGAGGCAGCAGUGGGGAAUUUUGGACAAUGGGCGCAAGCCUGAUCCAGCAAUGCCGCGUGCAGGAAGAAGGCCUGGUGUAA